UUUUGAAAUAAUAAGUACUUUCUUUGUACAAAGACUUCAAAAAUAUAUGACUUGUCAAGUGUUAUUAAAAUGUCUGACUUGGGGGUUCGCACUUAUUGCAUCACCGACAAUUUCUUUAUAGCAUUAUGGUUAUUGAAUUUCGCACUUGUGUGGUUGGACAUGUAUUUACACCUUGCUAACAUUUUUCUUGAAUCUUAGAAGCUUGACUACUUAAUUGGAGCUGUUGCAAACCAAAAGAAGCCAUUUGCUACAAUAGUUUGUUCCACUCAUCGGUAUUUUGAUGAUGUUUUUGAGCUCUAAAGGAGCCUACAACUUUGACUUGGUUCUUGCUUUUGUAGCGUAUAUUUGACUCGCUAUAGUUCUGAAAUAACUCACUGGCUAACUAAUGAGAUAAAUUGCUUACUUUGCUGCUACAUGUUAUAUAAAGAAAGAUGAGAAUGAUUGCGGCCCCUAUUAAAG
rnacentral:lncRNA from 1 species